CCUGCCUUCCUACAAGUCUCCAGCCCCAGCCACCGGGGGAGCUUACAACAGUGGGGCCCAGUCAUGCAUCCUUGCAUGGAGCAGUGGCUUCUCUGUGCUGUGGGAUAGGGCCUGAGCUCCCCCAUUGCAUAUGCCUUUUAAAAUUUAGUCUAUAUCUGAAUCUUAAAGUUCAUUUAUUGCCAUUUCUUCCUUAGCUUCCAUCUUGCUCUGCCACCACCAUUCAUAUAACCCAAAUAAUGUGCAAGAAAUAUUUCACAUUAAGAUUUAUUGAGCCGGAAAAAUUGACCUAAACCAGCCUCCAUGCCUGGGUGGUUUUCCCUGUGCUCAUCUAGUGGAAGAGCUGGGGCCACCAGCCCACACUGCAGUCCUGGCAGCUCUUCCCUUGUUGUUAAUGCUGCCCAGCGAUUGAGUGGAGCCUACCAGGCCUUGAAGUCUCUAUGAAGGAGGAAGUGCACGUGGAGUACUCGGGUCCACACAGGAGCACUCAGGUCCACACAGGAGCACUCUGUGUUCACAUGGAGCACUCGGGUGUUCACACAGGAGCACUCGGGUUCACACAGGAGCACUUGGGUCCACACAGGAGCACUCUGUAUUCACAUGGAGCACUCAGGGGUUCACAUGGAGCACUCAGGUCCACACAGGAGCACUCAGGUCCACACAGGAGCACUCAGGGGUUCACACAGGAGCACUUGGGUCCACACAGGAGCACUCUGUAUUCACAUGGAGCACUCAGGUCCACACAGGAGCACUCGGGUCCACACAGGAGCACUCAGGGGUUCACACAGGAGCACUUGGGUCCACACAGGAGCACUCUGUGUUCACAUGGAGCACUCAGGUCCACACAGGAGCACUCAGGUUCACACAGGAGCACUCGGGUCCACACAGGAGCACUCUGUUCACAUGGAGCACUCAGGUUCACACAGGAGCACUCAGGGGUUCACACAGGAGCACUCUGUUCACACAGGAGCAUUCUGUGUUCACGUGGAGCACUCACGGGUUCACACAGGCCUGCUCAGUGUCUGCAGACGCUUCAGAGACCCCGUGCAUCUGUCUGGUGUUGA
rnacentral:lncRNA from 1 species